AGUAAUGAUUAAUAGGGAUAGUCAAGGGCACUCGUAUUUCAUAGUCAGAGGAAAAAUUCUUGGAUUUAUGAAAGACGAAGAACUGUGAAAGCAUUUGCCAAGGAUGUUUUCAUUAAUCAAGAACGAAAGUUGGGGACUCGAAGACGAUCAGAUACCGUCCUAGUGUCAACCAUAAACGAUGCCGACCAGGGAUUGGCGAAUGUUGCUUAUAGGACUUUACCGGCACCUUUUGAGAAAUCAAAGUUUUUAGGUUCCGGAGGGAGUAUGGUCGCAAGGCUAAAACUUAAAGGAAUUGACAGAAGGGCACCACCAGGAGUGGAGCCUGCGACUUAAUUUGACUCAACACGGGGAAACUUACCAGGUCCAGACAUAGUAAGGAUUGACAGAUUGAGAGCUCUUUCUUGAUUCUAUGGGUGGUGGUGCAUGGCUAUUCUUAGUUGGUGCAGCGAUUUGUCUAGUUAAUUUCGUUAACGAACGAGACCUCAGCCUACUAACUAGCUAUGCAGAG
rnacentral:lncRNA from 1 species